AAUCUGGAUGAGCCGCGGGAAGAGUGGGGGGGGGAGGGGCGCUCCCCUUUGCGGGAGACCCUCCAUCGCCGCAGCCCCUUGUUGGGCUCCAUUUGCAGAUGGCAAUGGUUUGCAAGCUUCUGCGUGCAAAACAUACCCAAUGCACCUGAGAUAGGAUCAUUCUUCCCAAGAGCUGCAAAAGUCGUAAAUGUGAGAAUUCCUUGCAAGAUUACUUUUUCAUCACUAUCAUGACUGUGAAUGGUCACUAAACAAGGACUACUGUAUGCUGUUGUUUCCUCCUGGAUAGAUUUUCCAUAUGGAUGCACCCAAGAAAAAAAGAGAGAAGCAAAAUAAGAGAAGAGUUAAAAAUAGAGACAGUAUUAUCUGCAGGGGCCUUCCUUUCAAACUCCAUAAACGAAACAAGAUGAUUACAGAAUAGAGACCCAUCUGGAAGCUGUUAUGCACCAUUGUUCAGCAACAUAAAAAUGGUGACCGCGCUGCCUGCUCUUUAGUGCAUUAGAGUCAUAUCCUGAAACAAGCAAAAUAGCAGCAAGAGUGGAAAUUCAAGCUUGAAAACUGGAAGCAAAGCAGAUGACUUUAAUAAUAGGAUUCAAACUUCAUCAGAUCCAUCAAAGAACAGGACUUUCUUUAACCAGACUAAUGCAGACAAUCUAGUUUCAUCCAGGGCAGUCUUUGUGAUCCAAAGAGUUGUGUUUCGAAAAUGAUUCUAGAAAAGUGCUUCAGACUUUGCACAUAUAUGAAUGGAACACCUUUGUACCAUUUAUUAAAUCUGAGCUUUGAGGAGCACCCAAAAUUUCUGACAGAGAAACUUUUAAAAAGGCAGGCCACUUUAAUGAGUAAUAGAGAAGUGCUGUGCUUGCCCUUGCAUCAGGUCUGGCACUGGUGAUGUUACCUAGUUUGGGUAAUGAAACGCCUGCAAGAAAACAGUCAAGCUCAGAUCCUUCUUUCCCCUGUCACACUGUGUUAUAAGUAGUUGCACUGGCUGAGAUUCAUGUUUUCCUGUGAAAACUGUGAAGCAUACCGGCAAUUUUCAGUACUUCUCUACUUUGAUGAAUUAUACAUUUAGCCAUUCUAAAGCAUCAUUAAGUGCCGCCAUCUUCCAACACCGCUGAGCAUACCCAAUUUUAAAUGGACCUGAACUUGAUUAGUGCAUGUUGAUUGUUUUCAGAUUUUGUUUGGUUAUUGGGCUACUAUGAGCAAAGACACAUUUAUUAAGGUUGCGCAUGUUUCAGAAAUGAUUCUGGAAAAGUGCUUCAGACUUUGCAUUAGCAUGAAUGGAGCACCUUUGUGUUAUUCAUUAAAUCUGACUUUUGGGGAGCAUCCAAAAUGGCCGGCAGAGAACCUUUUAAAAAGACUGGCUGCUUUAAUAAGUAAUGGAGAAGUGCAGUGUUUACCCUUGCAUGAACCAUCUUGUUCAAAUCAUUUUCAAAGCAUA